AUCUCUCACUUAACCCCCGUCCUAGGAACCUUUACACUUAACGCGCGACCCAGCGGAGCCAUGAGUGCAAUCCAAUCAAUCCUAAACUUCUGCAAGAGUCUCAACUACUAAAAUCCUAAAGCUUGAAGGAAAGGUAACCACAAAGCAAGCCAAAGAUCAAAUACUAAGAACUUAGAAAUACACAAGUGGCCGAGUCCAAACUAAUUCCGAGGUUACAAAACGCAUCCUUAAACUACUGAAAGAAACAAACCCCUUCUUAAUUCAUUCACUAUGUCACAAACGGAAGAUCUAGACAUCGCGUCAAUACAGAAACAUGAAUCGAAGGGGAGUCCAGA